GAUGAACGCUGGCGGCGUGCCUAAUACAUGCAAGUCGAACGCGAGAGGAGGGAGCUUGCUCCCUCUGAUCGAGUGGCGGACGGGUGAGUAACACGUAGGCAACCUGCCCAUCAGCCGUGGAUAACUGCGGGAAACCGUGGCUAAUACCGGAUAAUCCUCCCCGCCGCGGGGUGGGGAGUUGAAAGACGGUUUCGGCUGUCGCUGAUGGAUUGGCCUGCGGCGCAUUAGCUGGUUGGCGGGGUAACGGCCCACCAAGGCAACGAUGCGUAGCCGACCUGGGAGGGUGAUCGGCCACACUGGGACUGAGACACGGCCCAGACUCCUACGGGAGGCAGCAGUAGGGAAUCUUCCGCAAUGGACGCAAGUAUGACGGAGCAACGCCGCGUGAGUGAAGAAGGGUUUCGGCUCGUAAAACUCUGUUGUUAAGGAAGAACGCCAGGUAGAGUAACUGCUACCUGUGUGACGGUACUUAACCAGAAAGCCACGGCUAACUACGUGCCAGCAGCCGCAGUAA
rnacentral:rRNA from 1 species